rnacentral:rRNA from 1 species
GACGAACGCUGGCGGCGUGCCUAAUACAUGCAAGUUGAGCGAUGAAGAUUGGUGCUUGCACCAAUUUGAAGAGCAGCGAACGGGUGAGUAACGCGUGGGGAAUCUGCCUUUGAGCGGGGGACAACAUUUGGAAACGAAUGCUAAUACCGCAUAACAACUUUAAACAUAAGUUUUAAGUUUGAAAGAUGCAAUUGCAUCACUCAAAGAUGAUCCCGCGUUGUAUUAGCUAGUUGGUGAGGUAAAGGCUCACCAAGGCGAUGAUACAUAGCCGACCUGAGAGGGUGAUCCGGCAAAAUGGGAAGGGGAAACGGCCCAAAACUCUAACGGAAGGAGCAGGAGGGGAAUUUCGGAAAUGGGCGAAAGGCUGGACGAGGAAAGCCGGGGGAGUGGAGGAGGGUUUCGGAUCGGAAAACUCCGUUGGUAGGGAAGAAAGUUGGUGAGAGUGGAAAGCUCAUAAAGUGACGGUAACUAACCAGAAAGGGACGGCUAACUACGUG